rnacentral:lncRNA from 10 species
UAUAUAAUAGUAUUUAUUAUAUGCCAGUGUCAGUUUUACUUUAUUGUGGAUACUAAUUUAUUUACUUUCAAAAACAAUAGUAGGUACAUUUUGUAGAUGAGGAAACUGAGCACAAGGAAGUUAAGUAAGCCUCCCGUUAUGCACCAAAUUACAUUUGUACCUAAUGUCAUAAUGUUAGCGUUCCUAAAACAAAAUCUACAGGACAAAUAGAAGCACAUUAGGGAGAAAUCCUGAACUUGGUCUAUGGGAGAAAAAGUGGUUUGAAAAAAUGAGGUAGAUACGUAAAUACAUAUUGAGUUCUAUACUUUAAAAAGAGACAGUGCAUCUUUCCCCCAAAUGAUAAAAUACUAGGGU